rnacentral:rRNA from 1 species
AUGGAUGUGAAGAUAAUUAGUACCACUCGCUGCACACAUCAGAUCAAACCAAGUCAAGCAUUUUCCAUGGACCUCGUGGUGAGGGAGGCCAUGGCGAAGAUGGGCGAGCUCCUCACGGAGGAGAAGAGCCUGCCGGCGGGCGUGAGGGAAGACGUCGAGUUCCUCUCCAGAGAGCUGACGCAUAUGCAACGGCAGGUGGGGCCACCGGUGGGCGGCGACGAGCUGUUCAGGGUCUUGGCAGACGAGAACAUGGCCCUGGCCAACCGCAUCGAGAAGGUCGUCGACGCCUUUGUACAGGUGCGUGGCGUCGACGGCAACCGGGAUGUGGCCGCCGGCUUCAAGGGGCUCGUGGAGAAGACGACCAACUUCUUCAACAAGGGCAAGGUUAAACGUCAGGUCGCCACCGAGAUGAAAGAGCUGAAGGGCGAGGUUGAGGAGGCGAUCGCCCGGCGUAAGAGGUACGACAUGAUCAAUGUGGUUGGUGUCGUUGCUCCGACCGCCGCAAUCGACCCUCGGCUCUUGGCACAGUACAAAGACCAUAGAGAGAUUGUUGGCAUCCAAGAGACAAGGGACGAGCUGAUCACGAUGCUCUCCCCUGGCUCUUGCCCUGAAGACGAUGUUGAUGUGUCGCCGAGGUCGGAGCAACUCAAGAUAUUCUCCAUCACGGGAUUCGGAGGAUUGGGCAAGACAACUCUGGCCAAGGCAGUUUACGACAGGCUCAAGGCGCAAUAUGAUUGCACGGCUUUUGUUUCUGUAGGUCUGAAUCCUGAUGUGAUCAAAGUCUUCAGGGACAUCCUCUUCAGCCUCGACAACAAGAAAUACAUGGGUCUCGAUGCAACUGUGUUGGACCAGAAACAAGAGCUCGUCGACCAACUCAGAGGAAUACUGGACAACAGGAGGUUCUUGAUCGUAGUGGAUGACAUAUGGGAUUGGGAAUCAUGGGAUGAUAUCAGUCGUCCCUUGGUCGGAAGCAGCAGCAGUAGCAACGGCAGCGCAGUUGUGAUGACAAGCCGGAGAGGUGAUGUUGCUCGCCGUGUCGGUGGUGUUCACACCAAAUUAGCACCCCUCACCACCGGCUACUCCACAAGAUUGUUUCGGCAGACGGCCUUCGGUGGCUCCGGCGAGCACUAUCCCCCUGAGCUGGCGGACAUAUCCGACGAGAUCAUCAGAAAUUGCAGUGGGAUGCCAUUAGCGAUCAUCACCAUGGCCAGCUCGCUGAGAGGGACGCCGCUGAGGGACUGGCAUGCGGUGCAUGAGUCCAACUAUUUCGACCAUUCAUGGUCCAAGGACAUGAGAGCGAUACUAGCUAUGUCUUACACCAAUCUACCUCCCCUUGUCAGGCUUUGCUUGCUCUAUCUAAGCAUGUUUGGCAAGGGUUGUGAGGUGAGCGUGGACCGCUUGCUAUGGGGGUGGAUAGCCGAGGGUUUUCUGGACAACCCGGGACUCGACGGCAGCGAUGGUGGGAUCAUGUCGACAUGGCGGGAAAGAGGGGAGCUUUACCUGGACGAGCUCGUCAACAGCGGCCUGGUCGAGCCGGUGGACGUCGGCACCGGCGGUAGGGCUGUAUCUUGCCGUGUGCACAGCAACAUUGUGCAUGACCUCAUAGUCUCGCUGUCAGCUUCGGAAAACUAUGCUGCCAUACUAGAUGGCCGGAAGAAAAGCAGCAGCACCAACAGCAGCUCUGGUUUGCCCGAUACCUCACUAGUCAAGCGACUAUCCAUCCAGAUCCAGGGCCAGUGGGGCAAUAACUCUGGCUGGCUGCCGCCACGAGUACGGUUGACCGAUGUGACGUCGCUUGUCGUCUCCGGCGAUGAUGCAGCCUGUGUGCCAUCCCUCUCGGAGUUCCAUGAUCUGCGUGCUCUGGAUCUGGAUAUAGGAGGGUGCGCCGAUGUGCAAAACGACCAUCUCAAGGGCAUCGCCGGUCUGUCUAGACUGCGUCUGCGGGUUCUAGAUCUGAGGGCAACCAGCAGCAUCAAUGAACUGCCGGUGGGUAUCGCUCGGGCGGCGGAGCUGAAAUGCCUCCGUGUCCACAGCCACACGAAGAUACCAGAUGGGAUGCUGGCAAGGAUGACAGGCCUGGAAGAGCUAGGAGACAUCAACAUCUCCAAGCCAGGGCUACUGCGAGAGCUACAUAGUCUCAAGAAGCUGACGAUCCUCGGGGUCGCCCUAUGGUCAUGGGAUGAGAGCUGCGACGAUGCGCUGCUCGGCUGCAGCCUGCACUUCUUGCAUGCUCUGGGCGAGAAAUGGGAGCCUCCACAGCUCCGGAACCUCGUGAUCAGCCACAGCGCUCUCGUCAUGCUGCCGCCAUGGAUACCCUCGCUCGAGGACAACCUCUCCUCCUUAUCCAUCGAGAAUCUCCUUGUUCUCUGCCUGACAUCAGACCAUGCCCCAAAACCAAAUGGGAGGUUCACCACCCGGGGAUUCAGGAAUCUAAUAAGCUUCAACUUUGCGAGCAAUGCCAUGGGGAAAGUGUUUGAACCAGGGGCUAUGCUCAAGCUCACAAGGCUUAAGCUUUCGUUUGAAGCUUCACUGACCAGAGAUCUGUCCCCAGGAUUCCAUUUCGGGCUGGAGAAUCUGCCUUCCCUAGAGCACGCAAGAGUUAGGAUAAUAUGUUUCAGUGCCAGCCUUCAGCAGGUGAAGGAUGCAGAGGACGCGAUCUCAAAGGCGAUAUGCACGGCAAAUCUUCAAAUACAAAGAGUGCAUGAACAAUACAUGGCAGAAGACAACGACGAAGAAGAAGGAAAAGAACCACUGCAGGUAGCUUAUUUUCGCUCCGCCAACGACUGGGUUAUUGCUUCAGAACCCGGCAUAUAUAUGCUUCGAUAA